rnacentral:rRNA from 1 species
GCCAGACUCCUACGGGAGGCAGCAGUGGGGAAUAUUGGACAAUGGGGGGAACCCUGAUCCAGCGACGCCGCGUGAGUGAAGAAGUAUUUCGGUAUGUAAAGCUCUAUCAGCAGGGAAGAAAAUGACGGUACCUGACUAAGAAGCCCCGGCUAACUACGUGCCAGCAGCCGCGGUAAUACGUAAGGGGCAAGCGUUAUCCGGAUUCACUGGGUGUAAAGGGAGCGUAGGCGGGACGGCAAGUCAGAUGUGAAAACUGAGGGCUCAACCUUCAGACUGCAUUUGAAACUGCUGUUCUUGAGUGAAGUAGAGGUAAGCGGAAUUCCUAGUGUAGCGGUGAAAUGCGUAUAUAUUAGGAGGAACAUCGGUGGCGAAGGCGGCUUACUGGGCUUUUACUGACGCUGAGGCUCGAAAGCGUGGGGAGCAAACAGGAUUAGAUACCCCCGUAU